rnacentral:ncRNA from 2 species
AAGCGAAACAAGGAGUGCCUAUAUGGGCUGAGAAGAUACCCUUUGACCCUGACCUGGGUAAUGCCAGCGUAGGAAAUGGCGAUUACUGUAUUU